rnacentral:sRNA from 1 species
CAGCGAGGUCAUAAGCUGAGCUCAGUGAAGGGAGCCAGAACAUGAAAUGAUGCUGAGAGAACGUCUGGGAGAUGAGAGUUUUAAGCAGUACAGGGUUGAAAAAGCUUUGCAUGCCAGACUAUUGUGAAUGAGUGGAGUUCAUAAGCAUUCAAAGGACAAAAGAGAUCAUUAUGCUUUGUUACCUCAGCUAGUUCAUUACCUUAAUUGCUGAGUGUAAUCCAGUCUUGGAAGAAAACUCUGGGGCUUUAAGAAGAUCAACACCAGCACCUUAUGGCACAGAAAAUGGAAACCCUUUCCUGUACCAUUGCUACUCCAGGAACACUAAACCUUGAUCAAAGGCUGAACUUUUCUUAAGGUCGGCCAUGUGAACAUCCCCUGGAGCUGUACCAUUCGCUGAACCAUAAUGAAGUUUAGUAGGUUCAGCACCAUUUCUCUCUGACUGUGACCGUCCUGGAUCACUGGCUAGCAAUAGCAUAUUAUCAGCCUUUCAGAUAGGUCUCAGCAUCAGAGGAGCCCAGGAGGAGGACCCUCCCGAUCCCCAGCUAAUGAGACUGGACAAUAUGCUUUUGGCAGAAGGGGUUUCAGGUCCUGAGAAAGGUGGGGGAUCGGCGGCAGCAGCUGCAGCCGCGGCAGCCUCUGGAGGUUCUUCAGAUAACUCUAUUGAACACUCAGAUUACAG